GACGAACGCUGGCGGCGUGCCUAACACAUGCAAGUCGAACGGGGUAAUGACUUCGGUUAUUACUUAGUGGCGAACGGGUGAGUAACGCGUGAGAAACCUGCCUUUCAGUGGGGGACAACAGUUGGAAACGACUGCUAAUACCGCAUAAUGUAUCGAUGGGGCAUCCUGUUGAUACCAAAGAUUUAUUGCUGAAAGAUGGUCUCGCGUCUGAUUAGCUAGUUGGUGAGGUAACGGCUCACCAAGGCGACGAUCAGUAGCCGGUCUGAGAGGAUGAACGGCCACAUUGGGACUGAGAUACGGCCCAG
rnacentral:rRNA from 1 species